CGCGUAGGCGGUGCACUAAGUCAGGCGUGAAAGCCCUGGGCUCAACCCGGGAAUUGCGCUUGAUACUGGUGCGCUUGAAUCCAGGAGAGGUUGGUGGAAUUCCCAGUGUAGAGGUGAAAUUCGUAGAGAUUGGGAAGAACACCGGUGGCGAAGGCGGCCAACUGGACUGGUAUUGACGCUGAGGCGCGAAAGCGUGGGGAGCAAACAGGAUUAGAUACCCUGGUAGUCCACGCUGUAAACGAUGUGUGCUAGCCGUUGGGGCUCUUAGAGCCUCGGUGGCGUCGCUAACGCUUUAAGCACACCGCCUGGGGAGUACGGUCGCAAGAUUAAA
rnacentral:rRNA from 1 species